AUACGGAGGGUGCGAGCGUUACUCGGAAUCACUGGGCGUAAAGCGCGCGCAGGCGGGCUGAUAAGUUGGAUGUGAAAGCCUACGGCUCAACCGUAGAACUGCAUCCAAAACUGUCAGUCUAGAGUGUGGGAGAGGAAGAUGGAAUUAGUUGUGUAGGGGUAAAAUCCGUAGAGAUAACUAGGAAUACCAAAAGCGAAGGCAAUCUUCUGGAACACUACUGACGCUGAGGCGCGAAGGCGUGGGGAGCAAACAGGAUUAGAAACCCCAGUAGUCC
rnacentral:rRNA from 1 species